rnacentral:rRNA from 1 species
CGGGUGAGUAACGCGUGGAUAACCUGCCUCAUACAGGGGGAUAACAGUUAGAAAUGACUGCUAAUACCGCAUAAGCACACGGGAGCGCAUGCUUCCGGGUGAAAAGCUCCGGCGGUAUGAGAUGGAUCCGCGUCUGAUUAGCUGGUUGGCGGGGUAACGGCCCACCAAGGCGACGAUCAGUAGCCGGCCUGAGAGGGUGAACGGCCACAUUGGGACUGAGACACGGCCCAAACUCCUACGGGAGGCAGCAG